CAAAAAACAGACUAAAUUAUGUCCUACAUUUCCGGUAACCAGAAAUACCAAAUAGAGGUAUAUAACAUCCCCCGCCCAAAUAUAAAAUUUGAAAAAUUUUGGUCUGGUCACUGGAAAUGCAGACAGCAAUAUAACAUAAUACAAUAAUAAUAAUAAAAAAUACAUUUCAAAUUUGUAUACACCCUUUCUCACUCUGGCAUUACUAACUCCGUACAUGG
rnacentral:lncRNA from 1 species